UACGUAGGGGGCAAGCGUUGUCCGGAUUUAUUGGGCGUAAAGAGCGUGUAGGCGGCCAGGUAGGUCUGCUGUGAAAACUCGAGGCUCAACCUCGAGACGCCGGCGGAAACCAUCUGGCUAGAGUCCGGAAGAGGAGAGUGGAAUUCCUGGUGUAGCGGUGAAAUGCGUAGAUAUUGGGAGGAACACCAGUGGCGAAGGCGGCUCACUGGACCGGUACUGACGCUGAUGCGCGAAAGCGUGGGGAGCAAACGGG
rnacentral:rRNA from 1 species